GGAUGUGAAGGCAAUCUGGCUGCCUAUCACGACUCCAGGUGUGUUCUUCCUAAAGCCCCAAGCUUGGCUGAAGAGGACAACCACUCUCAAUAGAGGAGGACCAUUCAUGGUCAAGGGUAAGAGUAGCUGCGCCCCCUGCGAGAACCUCCAAACAAGCUCUCAAAACCGUAACAGACCUCGUGUUUCUACCAGAUGCUGCUACCAGUCCACUGUCACUGGCCCAGGGCCCUCUGG
rnacentral:sRNA from 1 species